rnacentral:lncRNA from 1 species
GGGAGGGAGGAGCCUCGGUGGGAAGAAGGGGCUUCUGGGUGGGGAGUGGGAGAGAGACUUCCUUGGGGAGAGGAAUUCAGCUGCACGCUGGAGUCAGCUGGAGUUGCCCAGGCCCUGUGAGCAAGUGGCAGGCGUGCCCAGCUGCAUUGGGGAGAGGGCUGUUCUCAAGGCCAAGGUCAUUUUUGGAGGGAGAACUGGACGCCUGAUCAAAUCUGGCCCACAAUGGACUCAGCAGCCAAGGAUGAGAUGCAGCCGGCGUUGUCCCCUGGACCUGAGUGGCCAGAGCAGGAGCGGGCAGAGCAGCUGGCCCGGGGUGCAGCGCUCAAGUGGGCCUCAGGCAUCUUCUACCGGCCGGAGCAGCUGGCCAGGCUAGGCCAGUACCGCAGCCGCGAGGUGCAGCGUACCUGCUCCCUGGAAUCGCGCCUCAAGGCAGGAAAUGAUGGGGAGCCUGGAGUUGGGGCCUGAGGCUGAUGUGUCCCAGCUGGAGCCCCUUCUGACCUUGGAGAACAUUGAGCAGCUGGAGGCAACAUUUGUGGC